GUGGGGAAUAUUGGACAAUGGGCGAAAGCCUGAUCCAGCCAUGCCGCGUGUGUGAAGAAGGUCUUCGGAUUGUAAAGCACUUUAAGUUGGGAGGAAGGGCAGUAAGUUAAUACCUUGCUGUUUUGACGUUACCGACAGAAUAAGCACCGGCUAACUUCGUGCCAGCAGCCGCGGUAAUACGAAGGGUGCAAGCGUUAAUCGGAAUUACUGGGCGUAAAGCGCGCGUAGGUGGUUCAGCAAGUUGGAGGUGAAAUCCCCGGGCUCAACCUGGGAACUGCCUCCAAAACUACUGAGCUAGAGUACGGUAGAGGGUAGUGGAAUUUCCUGUGUAGCGGUGAAAUGCGUAGAUAUAGGAAGGAACACCAGUGGCGAAGGCGACUACCUGGACUGAUACUGACACUGAGGUGCGAAAGCGUGGGGAGCAAACAGGAUUAGAACCCGGGUAGUCC
rnacentral:rRNA from 1 species